CUGUGUGAGCUCAGGCACCGU
rnacentral:misc_RNA from 1 species